rnacentral:rRNA from 1 species
GACGACCGCUGGCGGCGUGCUUAACACAUGCAAGUCGAGCGGAGCGGCGAACGGGUGAGUAACGCGUGAGUAACUGCCCCCCUCUCUGGGAUAACAGUUGGAAACGGCUGCUAAUACCGGAAAGUGGGGGAUGACUCGCGUCCUAUCAGCUUGUGGGGGGGGUAGUGGCCUACCAAGGCGACGAAGGGUAGCCGGCCUUAGAGGGCGACCGGCCACAUUGGGCUGAGAUACGGCCCAAACUCCUACGGGAGGCAGCAGUGGGGAAUAUUGCACAAUGGGGGAAACCCUGAUGCAGCAACGCGCGUGCGGGAUGAAGGCCUUCGGGUUGUAAAGUACUUUCAGCGAUGAGGGUUAAUAACCGCAACGAUUGACGUUACUCGCAGAAGAAGCGCCGGCUAACUCCGUGCCAGCCGCCGCGGUAAUAC